AAUUCCUCUUUUUUCGCUCCUUCACUUUCAAAAUUUUCGCCCCAGCCACCGUCCACCCCAAGCCACCCACCGGCUGCCACCCCAGCCACCGUCACCCCACGCCACCCACCGCCGACCAGCCCCAUCCACCAUCGCCCACUCCACCCAGUGGAAGAGAUCGGCAUCCAGUGAGUGGCAAAAUCUCUCGCCACCUACUGGAAUCUAUUCCGGGCACCGAUUUCAUUCCCUCGCCGUCGAUUCCCGCCUUAUUCCCUUGCCUCGCCGCCUGCUCCUCGUCACUGUUGAAUCAUUCGACUUCGCCUUCGCCUUCAUGGACCUCGACUCCGACUCCACCGCCGCCCGUCAAUCCGACUUCGCCUUCGCCUUCAACGACAGCAAUUUUUUCGACCGCCUGCUCCAGAUCGAGAUCAUCGGAGAUCCCCUCAACGCCCAUGCCGAAUCCGACCUAGCUGAUUGGGUCGCGCGCCUCUGCGAGCUCCGCCGCCGAGACCUUGUGGAAAAGCAGCACGAUUAGGAUAUGAAUUAGAAAAUAUUGCCAACACAAAGUUUCAUGUCUCAAAAGCUGCUUCCCACCAUAUUGCUUUGUCUGUGGCUUCGAUAUGGAAUUCUACUGUUCGUGAUUUAAAAUAUGACACUACAUUUUUCCUCAAGAUUGAAGUAUUCAUAUAGCUUGUAAAAGCAAUGCAGAUGGUAUUAUUGUCUACGAUUUAUUCGAGAGGCUUUGGUGCUGAAUUCGUAUUCUACAUUCAAGUGUAUUUUGUUGCUUUGUUCCACAUUCAUAUGUAAUAGGAUGAUGAUUUUUGAUUCUAUUGAUGUAGGAUGAUGAUGUUUGAUACUAAUGGAUGUAGGAUGAUGGUGUUUUAUUCUAAUGUAUGAAAUUUUAUUAUUAAUUUA